rnacentral:rRNA from 1 species
CGGAGGAAGGUGGGGAUGACGUCAAAUCAUCAUGCCCCUUAUGACCUGGGAUACACACGUGCUACAAUGGACGGUACAAAGAGCUGCAAGACCGCGAGGUGGAGCUAAUCUCAUAAAACCGUUCUCAGUUCGGAUUGUAGGCUGCAACUCGCCUACAUGAAGCUGGAAUCGCUAGUAAUCGCGGAUCAGCAUGCCGCGGUGAAUACGUUCCCGGGCCUUGUACACACCGCCCGUCACACCACGAGAGUUUGUAACACCCGAAGUCGGUGGGGUAACCUUUUUGGAGCCAGCCG